AUUGCAGUUUUUGUUACUUCCGCAUUGGCUUUGCUUCACAACCAUGGAGGUUACUGCUUGGUAGGGACUACUUGUGAGGAUUUACUGUACCUCAGUGAGUCAAUCCAGCAAUUGUAGUAAUUUAACUAGAGUUAAUUGAUUUUGUUCUGAAAUGUCACUAUAAUUAAACCCCGGUGUGUCUGUGACGAUGUUUGUCUGCAAAGAAUAAUGAACUUUUGUCCUUUCUGCUUCACGGAGGGCGCCUUCGAUAGAAUUUAGAUUAAAUCAAGCCACGUCAGCAAACGUAAGUAUUCUGUAUUCAAUACAAACAAACAACAACAACGUGUUGUUCCCAUCACAGCAGUGGAUAUUAGAGACCGUGCUACUUUCUUUACCUUCCCCCGUUUGAAAUGAAAAGGUGUCACUGCCUUGUGUUCCCAGCGGCGCUGAGAGCUGGGCGUGACUGUUUACUUUUUAUCCAUCUCUUGUAUCAACAUUAAAGUUGGAGAAAGGUGUAGUCGGUGCUAGUCAGUGCCUGCAGGCUGCUGCUGCAGCUCACAACAAGCCUGCUGAAUCAUUGCGGUGACAUCAGCUCUAAAAGGUGGAAUAACACUUUUUAGACAAGUACAAACGUCCCUGGACGGGUUGAAAUGAUUUGUGGACCGGUACAAAUAUUUGUGACGCAUCAGAGCCAGAAGAAAGAUCCAAGGCACCCAGUCUGAUCAUUUUUUAUGAUUGCACAACCAAAUUUCCAUCUAGCAAAGUCUAUAAAAAUGUACUGUGUGUCAACUUUGUAAUGCCGUCGUCUCAACACAAGGAGAGGAAUGUUUUCGCCAACCCCUGAGGCCUGUUCUGCAUCUUCGUAAAUUCCUGAAUAGCCCACAAACGCAUAUCUAAGGCUCGUUGCAAGUUUCUCAUGAGACACAUUAGGCAUGCGGGCGAAACCAUAAACACCUUAUAACAACAGAGAGAAGGGAAGACAGCUGAUGAACAAAGUUAUAAUACUAACAGCAAUAACCACAGAGCAAGCAAAUUAAAAUAAAAUUUUAAAAAACGCAUAAAAUUUAAGCUGGUUACAGUGCAAAGAUGAUGUUAGUGCAUGAAUUUAAAAUGAAAACCUUUUUCAGUCUCACUGUUUGUCCUCGAGUUAAAUUAAAUAUCUUUCAGAUCAGAUCUUUAGAAAUGAGGAGCUCAGAACCCGAGAAAAUCAGCAUACUAAAUUCAAGUUUGACUUGUGAGUUACACAAUGUGAAAUAAAAAAGGUUUUCAUUCAACAGGAACACCUUAACAUAAUAA